rnacentral:lncRNA from 1 species
AUAAAAAGAAUAUCCCAAUGUUCAUUAUAUAACUGAGUUAAAAAUCUUCCCAUAAAGAAAAUUCAAGAUCCACAUGGAUUCACUGAUGGCUGCUAGCAAAUAUUUAACAAGAAGUAAUACCAAUUCUAAACAAAUCUUUCUGAAAAAUUCAAGAAACAUAAUGCUUCCCAAGUCAUUCUGAGACCACCGUUGCUCUGAUACCAAAAUCGUAUAAAGUACUAUGAGAAAACUAUAAACAAUAACCACAAUAAACAUAGAUGCAAAAAAACAUUUAAAAAUUCUAUCAACUGUAGUCAAACAAUAAUAAAAGGAUAAAAUAUAUGACCAGGUCAUACUUAAGAAUAUAAGGUUGAUUUCACAUUCAAAAAUCAAAAUUCUAAUCUGCCAUAUUAACAAGGACACACACACACACAUACACAGCCCUAUGAUUGUCUCAAUAGAUGCAGAAAAAAUCAUUUGACAGAAUCUAAUAUUCAUUCUUGAUUUAAAACAAACAAAAAUUAAAAUAAAAAGCUCUUAGAAAACUAAGAAUAAAAGAUAACUUAAUAAUGGGGACCUACCAAUAACCUAAAACUGGCAUCAUACUUAAUGUUAUGAGACAAGGACGUCUGUUCUCAGUCCUCCUAUAUAGCACUGUACUGAAGUUUCUAACCAAUAAAAUAAGGCAUGAAUAACUCCCAUGAUAUUUAAAAAUUAGUAAAAUUUUAUUUGCAGGAGGCAUUAAUAUAUAUGUACAAAAAAAAUGUAGAAGGAUAGGUCCUCAGAUGACCUUGGCUGACCCAGUUUUUCCUCUAUCGCUUGCAAUUCCAGGUUAAGGUACCAAAAAUGCAACAUCCUGAAAUAAGGAGGUGUUCAAACAAUCCAGGUGGCGUCUUCAUUACUUGGGGACCAGAUGUGCUGUGACAAUUGUGCUCAGUGAUUGAAGUGACACCCAGGUCAUAUAUACCCAGGGUGGAGGGGUUCUGGGGUCCUUCAUUUGAAGUGUGAUAUGGGACAAGAGCAGAGGAGACUCCAUCCACCCUAGCCAGCUUUCCUGAGACUUGAGGACCAACUUGACAUGAAUCCUAGGCUUCUGCUUAUCUUUGAUGCCUCACUGUGAGUAGUAGACCUGCUUUAUGUAACUUGUGUGAUUGUUUUGUCUCAUCAGAUUUAUGCAAUUGGGAGAGAUACUGGGGUUCCUCUUUGGCUCCUCUCUACUGUCUUCAUUAUGUUAGAAUGACUGCAGCAGCCAGGUCUACUCUAAGCCCCCACUAAACUUAUGAACCUUUGCAAGAAGCUACUGGGAUAAGUGACUUUUGCAAAAUUUCAAGAUAUGACAUCAAUAUACAAAUAUCAAUUAUACUAUAUCUUUAACAAUAAAUAGCAAGAAAAUUGAUUUAAAAGUAAUAUUUUCAUAGAAUAAAAAUAGAAUUUGCUUUGAGACAGAUAUAACAGAAUAUACGCAAGAUCUGCACAUUUAAAACUAUGAAAAAUUGCUGACAGUAUUUAAAGAUCUAAAUAAAUAGUGAGAUUUUACCAUGGCACAGCUUGCAAGCACCCAAUAAUAAGAUACUAAUUUUCCCCACAUUUAUCAAUAGAUUCAGAACAAUUCCAAUCAAAACCUCAUCAGAAUUUUUUUAUAGAAAUUAAUGCUUCCAUUCUAAAAUUCAUAUGGAAAUGUUAAGUAUCUUGAAUAAUUGAAAUAUCUUGGGGAAAAGUAACCAAAUUGUAGGCUAGCAGUACCUAAUUUCAGGACCCAGAAAGCAAUACUCAGUAAGAGGAUAUAGUUUUGACUUAAACAUAGACGAGUAGGUCAAAGGAAUAGAAUAGAGAAUCCAUAAAUAGGCCCGUAUAUAUAUGGACAACUUAUUUUUGAAAAUGUUGUAAGGGCAAUUCAGUAGGAAAAGGUAAUUAUUCUCCACAAAUGGUGCUGGAACAACUAAAAGUCUGUAUAUAUAAAAAGAACUGAAAUUUGUACCUUCCACUAUAUAUAAAAAUUAACUCUAAAUGCAUCAUAGUUGUAAAUGCCAAAGCUAAAACUAUAAAACUUGUGAGAUAAAAUUGUAAAAGGAGCAUAUUUUACCUUGAUUUAUGCAAAGAUUCCUUACAUAUAGCAGCAAAAGCAUAGUUCAUUAUAGAAAACAUUGAUGAAAUGAACUUUCUCAACAUAAAAACUUCUUCUUUUACAAAGUAAACAAAAAGAUGAGCCAGAGACUGGAAGGAAAUACUUGCUAAGCAUAUUUUCUGUAUCCAGAAUAUAUAGGCAAACUCUCAAAACUCACCAAAAAAUUUUUUGAAAAUGGCCAUUGAAUUUGAAAAGACACUUUAAAAAAGAUUAAUAAUAGCAAAAAGCACAUGAAAAGAUAUUCGGUAUCAUUAGUCAUUAGGAAAAUGCAAAUUAAAACCACGAUGAGAUACAAGUUCACACAAUUGGAAUGGAUACAAUUAAAAACAUUGAUCAUUCCAAGUAUUGGCAGUGCUGCAGAGAAGCUGAAACUCUCAUAUCCUACUGGUGAGAAUGUAAAAUGCAACAACUAGGUUGGAAAAUAGUUUGGCAGUUUCCUAAAGUUAAACCUACACAUGCUAUAUUAUUUGGCCAUUCUGCUCUUAAAUGUUUACCUCUAAGGAAAGAAAGCUUAUGUGAACUGUGCACAUAUAUUCAUGGUAGCAUUAUUUUUAGUAACUGAAAUCCAGAAAAACAAUGCAAAUAUUAAUCAACAGGUAAAUGGAUAAACAAAUGGUGAUACAGUCAAUUCUUGUUAUUUUUGUACUCCAUAUCUAUGAAUCUGGCUAUGGGCUAAUUAUUUGUAACCCCAAAGUCAAUACUUGCAGAGCUUUCGUGGGCAUUUGUGUGUACGUGCAUGCACAGAACUGUGAAAAAUUUGAGUCACCCACCAAACACUUUCUCAUUGAAGGCAGAUGAUGCUCUUUCUUCUUGUUUCAACUUUCAUGUUGUCUCCUUUUAGCAGUAUAUUUAACAUAUACUAAACAGCAGUUUAGUGAUGUGCCUCAUAAAGUUGAUACGCUUAUUAAAUAAGCAUCAUUCAGGCAUGAGUGAUAGUGCUAUUGGCCAGGAGUUCAGUGUUAGUAAAUCAACAAUAUGUAUUUAAUAAGGUGUCCAUAAACAUAAACCCACAUAAAACAGGUUUAUGUAUUGAUUUGGUUGAGGUAAAUAUUGAAACCAAAAGCUGGCAGAAAAUGAUUCAGGAUUUAAUUAUUCCUUGUUUAUGGGAAUUUUACAGAAAAUAACUAACUUCAAAAAUGGGAAUCCACUGUAUACUCAUACAAUGGAAUACAACUUAGCAAUAAACCAGAAUGAAUUCUACACAUAAUAUAAACCUCCUAAUAAUUACACUGAGAGAACGAAGUCAGGGGAAAAUAAGUAUAUUUUAUGAUUCUAUUUAUAUAAAACCCCAGAAAAUGCAAACAAAUUGUGACGAAGCAGGUAAAUAGUUGCCUGUGGAAAAAGUGGGGGUGGGAAAAGAAGAAAGAGCUAUAUAAAGCGGUGAUGAAAAUAUUGCUAUCUUGAUUUGGAUGAUGGUUUUAUAGAUAUAAACAUGCAUAAAAGUGGCAAAUGUUAUGUUUUAAAUACGUAAAUAUAUAUAUACAUCAAUUUUUCUUCCAAAAACUUUUCUAAAUAUAGAUUGUUAACAAUGGCAUUAUGUAGUAACAAGAAAGAGAAUUAUGUAACUAUAUAAAGCCUAUAAGAUAAAAAGUUGAGGAUGUCUGUAUAAUAUGUGAAUGUAAUACACUAAGAAUAAAAUUUCUAACUCUUGUUGGAGUACAUUCUUUUGUGCUUAAUUAUUACCAGUUUUUAAUUUUGUUUCCCUCUUUUUAGUGUCCUGUCAUAUUAUCAAUUCUUCUUUGUUUCUUAGAUGUCCCCACUGAAGCAUAGAAUGUUCUUAAGCUUAAAAUAAUUUCUUCAUAAUUCAUCAUUAUGAUGCUUAUACUAAUUUGUUAAUUUUCAUGAAAAAUUGCAAUGUUAGCCACUAUGAUUAUAGCAUACAGAGUUAAAUUCCAUUGUUAGACAAGAAAAUUAAUAAAAUCUUUAUGCAUGCUUUUUCUCUUAUAUUUCUGAUCGUAAUAAAUAGCAAUAAUGACUUUUAUUUUCUUAAAAACACCACAGAGAUGCUAUUUAAUAGUAUAUUUCACCUCUCUUAAAUGUUAUUGGGUUGGUAGUUAAAUAUCACAUGUUGUUUAAAUGUCAAUAAAAGGGCUAUUUGAUUGAUUACCAGUUAUAACAAACUAAUUCUAUGAUGAUUCUUUAAUAAGAAUAUAUUUAGACACUAAUGUGUCAUUUUAUUAUUAUAUAUUAAUCAUUAUUAUACGGCUCGUGUUUGUUUGACUGUAUAUUUUUAAAUGAAGAAAAAUGUAACCAAAUUAUAAAUUAGGAAGUAUAACAUAUUUAGUGUACUUUUUG